rnacentral:lncRNA from 1 species
GAAAUUAAAGCCACCAAAAUUCUCGGGAAUGGGACGUCCCGAGGAAGUGGAGCAGUGGAUAUAUGCGUUUAGCUUAUCAUGGGCUAAUGGCUCUGAGAUUUUGAAUGAAUGUUGGCCAAGUGAUAUCAAGGAGGCUAGUCUUCAUCAAUUUUGCCUUUUUGUUUGGGAAUUUAGAGAACAUUACCGUUAUAAAUAAGUUUAAGAUGUUUUGAUGUGUGCGAAAAUCAACAGAGUGAGGAUGACACCUUUUUCUGUUGAUAUCAAAAGUGUUUGUGGAUCAAAUGUUGGUCAAUAUUAUUAGUUGAUGUAUCAUGUAUGUUCACAGGGCAGAAACCAUGCUUUUCGUAGAGUUAGUAUGAAGAGUUGGUCUUAGAAAUAUAUUAACGGUAUUCCCCUUUUGAUAAUCUCUGGUUGCAUGUUCGAUAAUUUUUCUAGAUCUUGAUAUGUCAUUGAGAGUAAGUACGGGUUGAGAAUGCAAUUAUUAGAGUUGUCAUAAAUAAUGAUCCAUGCUAAGGUCAAGUCAAUUCUUUUAGGAAGAUCAUACAUUCCAUCGAAGAUGUCGGUUGCCACUUGCCAUCAUUUUUCUAUCUUGAAAGUGCCGAUUUCGAAUUGGUUGGCUUAUAAAAUGCAUAUUUGGCAAUUGCCUCUCCCGUGGUGUUCGCAUUGCUUUCUUGGUGUAGCAAUAGACAACCACACUAUUCUCUCAUCCACAUGAAGAGAGGUAUCGGGCAUUAAAUCUACGGAUGGUGAAUGUUUAUGGUUGGUAAGAUUGCUUUAAGACUUGAGUAAAGAUCAUGUCGUAAACCUACGUUGUAUUAACCUUAGCAACCGCUAGUGACUCCCAUAUUCUGUAUAUGAGGCAUAAGCCGUCAUGUCCAUUAAUACUUGUAUCAUUUGAAUUAUUGUGGGGGUCCAUUCCAUGCUUUAUACCUUGUUAAGAAACCUUGCUUAAUGGUUGGCUGAGGUCUAUGAUAUAUGGUGGGUCUGAAGGGGCAAGCAUUGUUGUCUAGAUAUCUAGAAGUAUUAUCAUCUGAGUUAUGUACAUAAAUUCUUAGUGCUAGGCGUUUUGUUUGAUGAGAGUUUGAGUCAUUGACCUUUGGUAACUCAUUUCUUUUAAUAUUUCUAUAACUCAUUGGUUGAAAAAAAAAAAAGCCGUUGUGGUUCAUAAUUUGGAUGUCCUGGUACGUGGUUCUUGCUAUUUAAGGGGGUGUUUUUCUUGAUGGUGGGAAUGCAUUUUGCAUCCUGUAUUUGUGAGUAAGGGUUUAGGAAGUUAUUUUUUUUUUCCUUGGUAGCAUGAGAGCUUCUGAAGCAUUUGCUAAAGAAUUACCUGUAUUGCUGGAUAUUUGUGUUUAUCUAUUAAUGUGUCAUGUUAGAAGACUCUUAUUUAGAAUUUUGUUAUAAACUGACUUGUGAAAAUGUCUCCUCAAUGAGGAUAGAAUUUGCAUAUGUGAAAGGUCUCUUUUGUGUUUGUACGUUCCCUUUGGUAUUUAUGGCUUACAAAUUUAGAACAAGCAUCUGAAUGUCACUGAUUUGAUGAGAUGUGCCUUAUUUUCAGAAGUGGAAUUAUUUUUCUCACUUUUGCCUUAUCUUGG